GAUUCGCUAGUGAAAAGUAUGGCCGAACGAACGUCGUAACGUCGAGUCGUGAGUGCAGAAGAAGAAAGAGUGUUAAUUUUAGUGUGAUGACAUCAUUUUGACCCCCGCCCGAAUAAAAUUGUGUCCGAAGAGCCGCGAAGAGAAGUGCGGGAGAA